AGGAAAGCAGGGGAUCGCAAGACCUUGCGCUUUUGGAGCGGCCGAUGUCUGAUUAGCUAGUUGGUGAGGUAAAGGCCUACCAAGGCUUCGAUCAGUAGCUGGUCUGAGAGGACGACCAGCCACACUGGGACUGAGACACGGCCCAGACUCCUACGGGAGGCAGCAGUGGGGAAUUUUGGACAAUGGGGGAAACCCUGAUCCAGCCAUGCCGCGUGAGUGAAGAAGGCCUUCGGGUUGUAAAGCUCUUUCAGCCGGAACGAAAAGGUUACGGUUAAUACCCGUGACUAAUGACGGUACCGGAAGAAGAAGCACCGGCUAACUACGUGCCAGCAGCCGCGGUAAUACGUAGGGUGCGAGCGUUAAUCGGAAUUACUGGGCGUAAAGCGUGCGCAGGCGGUUUUGUAAGUCAGAUAUGAAAUCCCCGGGCUCAACCUGGGAACUGCGUUUGAAACUACAAGGCU
rnacentral:rRNA from 1 species